rnacentral:rRNA from 1 species
CGCUGAAGCAAAGCAUGGUGGGCCUGGUUAGUACUUGGAUGGGAGACAGUUGAGAAUACCAGGUGCUACAGGGA